UGUCUUCCUUGACAACCUGGAACCCAGAUUUAUGCGUCUAGGAAUCCCAGGGCACAGCACAGUGCAGUAGACCAAGCAUCGAGUGUUCACUCCUAUAUCAUUGUCACCGUACUAUCAGACCAGAUGGCUACUUCAUCACAGAAUCAAGAAUUAGGAAUAAUUUAUGCUGUUCCUUGCUCUAGAAUGUGAAAAUAGAAAGCAUUUGCUGCACGCAGACUCAUAAAGAGCAGCUUGACCCAACAGUAACAGCCUCGGCAGAGGACAUUUGGUAUUAUGGCUGCACCAUCUUUAGUAACUGGAUUUCAUUCCACGGAGCCCUAAACUCUCAGGUCAGAGAAGAUUGUCAAAGCACAACUGUGUCUCUUUAAAUCUACUGAGGAAGAUAUUCCUUCUGGCCCACAGGAUGCCAAAAUGACUUGAUGAUUUAUUUACACGGCGCUUGGCAGCCUAUAGUCCAGAUUGUGGCUGAAGCUGAAUUUUAUGAGCCUUCCCUCAGAAGUAUUCUAGGCCCAGGGAUUGUGGUGAAAAAGACAAAUACUGACCCUUCUCUCCUGGAACACACAUUUCAGAGGAGGGAGAUGGAUGAUAAACAGGGUGCCUUGAAGAUUAAGUGAUAUCGUGCAAAAGGCCAAGAACAUAGAGAAGACUCAGCAGAUGGUGCUGGGAAUAUUAUUUCAAGACAACGUGCUGCUUGCUGUCUCAGACCUGCUCCACUGUACUUCAGGCACUCCAAGAAACAACAGCAUUCAAAGAGCGAUUUUCAAAGAUCCUUUUUGGAACAAGAUAGAGUGUAAAUGAAUAAACUAACAAACAAGCAAAUCCUCCAAUACUUUGAGGUCAGUUAUAUUUCAGUAUAGUUCACACUUCUCCAGCUACUGUGUUCUUUCUCUUCUUACACACCAAGUGCUUUCCGGCCUCAGGGCCUUUGAACUUGUUACUUCUGCCUAGCCCUAAAUGUCACCCCCCUUGGGUCUUCAUGUGGCUCAAAUCUUAGUCAGAGACUUCUCUGCUCAUCCAAGCUAAGGAAGUUCCCUGCCCCAGUCCAGAUCACAUCACUGCAUUUAAUGUUUUAUUCACUGAAUAAAUCAUUCUGUGAUAUUAUCUGGCUUUGUGGCUGUUCUUUGCUUUUCCUCUGUCUCCUCCCAUAGAAUGUAAGAUCCUCAGGAGCAAAAACUUGUCUGCCUUGUCCUUCCUGUAUAUCUAACACCAAUAACAAUGCCUGGCACGCUAGUAGGUGCUUAAUAAAUCUCUGUGAAAUCAAUGAGUGGAUUGCAUUGCUUUCACAAGUCAAU